rnacentral:lncRNA from 1 species
UUUGGGAGGGGAGAUUUGGAGGCCGUUGGUAGGGGUGGGUUGAGUUGCCGAUGUUGGUGGAGCGGGGAGGGGAUAUGUAUGUGAGUGUGGCCUAGCAAGGCCGAGAGGGGUAGAAGGGUGCAUGAGUCACGGAUGGUAGUGACGGGAGGUGGAAAUGUUUGUGUGUGUGCGUGGCCCAACGAGGUCGAGAGAUGGAGGAGUGAGUAUGAGUCGCCGAUGUUGGUGACGCGAGACGAUGGUAUUUGUGUGUGUGUGUGUGGCCUCUUUAGGUCGAGAGGUGGAGGAGUGAGUAUGAGUCGCCGAUGUCGGUGACGCGAGACGAUGGUAUUUGUGUGUGUGUGUGGCCUCUUUAGGUCGAGAGGUGGAGGAUUGAGUAUGAGUCACCGAUGUUGGUGACGCGAGACAAUGGUAUUUGUGUGUGUGUGUGGCCUCUUUAGGUCGAGAGGUGGAGGAGUGAGU